UACAGAGGGGGCAAGCGUUAUUCGGAAUUAUUGGGCGUAAAGGCGCGUAGGCGGCCAUUCAAGUGACGGGUGAAAGCCCUCGGCUUAACCGAGGAACUGCCUGUCAGACUGGAUGGCUUGAGACCGGGAGAGGUGAGUGGAAUUCCCAGUGUAGCGGUGAAAUGCGUAGAUAUUGGGAGGAACACCAGUGGCGAAGGCGGCUCACUGGACCGGAACUGGACGCUGAGGCGCGAAAGCGUGGGGAGCAAACA
rnacentral:rRNA from 1 species